UACAGAGGGUGCGAGCGUUAAUCGGAAUUACUGGGCGUAAAGCGCACGUAGGUGGUUCUGUAAGUCGGAUGUGAAAGCCCCGGGCUUAACCUGGGAACUGCAUUCGAGACUGCAGUACUGGAGUAUGGGAGAGGGAAGCGGAAUUUCCGGUGUAGCGGUGAAAUGCGUAGAUAUCGGAAGGAACAUCAGUGGCGAAAGCGGCUUCCUGGCCCAAUACUGACACUCAUGUGCGAAAGCGUGGGGAGCAAAC
rnacentral:rRNA from 1 species